GAUGAACGCUGGCGGCGUGCCUAAUACAUGCAAGUCGAGCGAACAGACGAGGAGCUUGCUCCUCUGACGUUAGCGGCGGACGGGUGAGUAACACGUGGAUAACCUACCUAUAAGACUGGGAUAACUUCGGGAAACCGGAGCUAAUACCGGAUAAUAUAUUGAACCGCAUGGUUCAAUAGUGAAAGACGGUUUUGCUGUCACUUAUAGAUGGAUCCGCGCCGCAUUAGCUAGUUGGUAAGGUAACGGCUUACCAAGGCAACGAUGCGUAGCCGACCUGAGAGGGUGAUCGUCGACACUGGAACUGAGACACGGUCCAGACUCCGACGGGAGGCAGCAGUAGGGAAUGUUCAGCAAUGGGCGAAAGCCUGACGGAGCAACGCCGCGUGAGUGAUGAAGGUCUCCGGAUCGUAAAACUCUGUUAUUAGGGAAGAACAAAUGUGUAAGUAACUAUGCACGUCUUGACGGUACCUAAUCAGAAAGCCACGGCUAACUACGUG
rnacentral:rRNA from 1 species